rnacentral:lncRNA from 1 species
AUGUCCAGAGCCUCGAUGUCCUGCAAAUGAAGGAGGGGAAUAUCCUCUAGUUUCUUGCAGCAGGAACCCACUUAGGUGGCACCAACCUGGUUCCAGUUGGAACAGUAUAUCUACAAAGGAAAGUGACGGCAUUUACAUCCUAAAUCUGAAGAAUCUAAUUCUGUUGGCAGCUUGUACCAUUGUUGCCAUUGAAAACCCUUCUGGUCAGUCUCAUGUCCUCCCGGAAUCCUGGCCAGCGGGCUGAGCUGAGCUUUGCUGCUGCCACAGGAGCCACUCCUAUUGCUGGCCACUUCACCCCUGGAACCUUCAUUAACCAGGUCCAGGCAGCCUUCUGGGAGCUGCGUCUGUUGGUAGAUACUGAUCCCAGGGUGGCCACUGGCCUCUCACAGCAGCAUCUCAUGAUAACCUACCUACCAUACCUCUGUGGAACACAGGUUCUCCUCUGCGCUGUGUGGAUAUUUCCAUCCCAUGCAACAAGGGAGCUCACUCGGGGGUCUGAUGUGGGGAAUGCUGGCUCAGGAAGUUCUGCACAUGCCUGGCACUGUCUCCUGUGAACACCCAUUAGAGAUCAUGCCUGAUCUCUGCUUCUACAGAGAUCCCGAAGAGAUGGAAAAAAGAACAGGCUACUGCUGAAAAAGCUAUGACCACAGACCACAGAGGAAUUUCAGAUUUCCGGGUGAAUGGACUGCUCCAGCUCCUGAGUUCACUGCUAGUUAGCCUGAGGUUGCAGACUGGUCGGAGGCAUGCAGGUACCCAGUGUCUAUCCAGCAGUUCUCUAUUGAAGAUGUGGAACACUCAGCCUGCCAUGGAAGACUGACCUUCAGCUCUCAUUGCUCAGGCCACUAAACGGGUAGGAACAACCAAUGUGUGGU